rnacentral:rRNA from 1 species
UGGGGAAUUUUGGACAAUGGGCGAAAGCCUGAUCCAGCAAUGCCGCGUGUGUGAAGAAGGCCUUCGGGUUGUAAAGCACUUUUGUCCGGAAAGAAAUCCUCUGGGUUAAUACCUCGGGGGGAUGACGGUACCGGAAGAAUAAGCACCGGCUAACUACGUGCCAGCAGCCGCGGUAAUACGUAGGGUGCAAGCGUUAAUCGGAAUUACUGGGCGUAAAGCGUGCGCAGGCGGUUUUGUAAGACGGAUGUGAAAUCCCCGGGCUUAACCUGGGAACUGCAUUCGUGACUGCAAGGCUAGAGUAUGGCAGAGGGGGGUAGAAUUCCACGUGUAGCAGUGAAAUGCGUAGAGAUGUGGAGGAAUACCGAUGGCGAAGGCAGCCCCCUGGGCCAAUACUGACGCUCAUGCACGAAAGCGUGGGGAGCAAACAGGAUUAGAUACCCUGGUAGUCCACGCCCUAAACGAUGUCAACUAGUUGUUGGGGAUUCAUUUCCUUAGUAACGUAGCUAACGCGUGAAGUUGACCGCCUGGGGAGUACGGUCGCAAGAUUAAAACUUAAAUGAAUUGACGGGG